GAUGAACGCUAGCGGCAGGCCUAACACAUGCAAGUCGAGGGAGGAGCCUUCGGGCUUCGACCGGCGUACGGGUGCGUAACGCGUAUACAAUCUGCCUUUCACAUAGGGAUAGCCCGAAGAAAUUUGGAUUAAUACCUAAUGGUAUAUAGAUGUGGCAUCACCUUUAUAUUAAAGCUGAGGCGGUGAAAGAUGAGUAUGCGUUCUAUUAGCUAGUUGGAGAGGUAACGGCUCCCCAAAGCGACGAUAGAUAGGGGUUCUGAGAGGGAUAUCCCCCACACUGGUACUGAGAUACGGACCAGAAUCCUACGGGAGGCAGCAGUGAGGAAUAUUGGACGAUGGUCGGAAGACUGAUCCAGCCAUGCCGCGUGCAGGAAGACGGCCUUAGGGGUUGUAAACUGCUUUUGCAGGGGAAGAAUAAGGACUACGCGUAGUUUGAUGACGGUACUCUGCGAAUAAGCAUCGGCUAACUCCGUG
rnacentral:rRNA from 1 species